AGGAUGGCUACAAAGUCCCACGAGAGGGGGAGAUUGAAGACAGCAAACCUUAUCAGGAUCCUAAACUCUAUAGAAAACUAGUUGGCAAAUUGAUUUAUCUCACUAUAACUAGACCUGACAUUUGUUUUGCUGUGAAUCAGGUGAGUCAACACAUGCAAGUACCUAAGGAACAUCAUUGGCGCAUGGUGGAAAGGAUCUUGAUGUAUCUCAACGGCUCACCUGAUCAAGGAGUAUGGAUGGGCUGCAAUGGAAGCACUGAAGUGGUGGGAUACUGUGAUGCGGAUUGGGCUGGUGAUAGAGCAGACAGGAGAUCAACCACAGGCUAUUGCACAUUCAUUGGAGGCAACUUGGUGACUUGGAAGAGUAAGAAGCAGAAGGUGGUGUCUUGCUCAAGUGCAGAAGCUGAGUAUAGAGCUAUGCUGAAGCUCACCAACGAGUUAGUAUGGAUCAAAGGCAUCUUGAAGCAUUUGGAGAUUGAUCAAGCCACGCCAAUGACCAUGCAUUGUGACAACCAAGCAGCUAUCCACAUAGCCUCCAACUCGGUGUUCCAUGAGAGAACCAAGCACAUUGAAGUUGAUUGCCACAAGGUGAGGCAGAUGAUCAUCUUAGGAGUCAUCUUGCCAUGCUACACAAGAAGUGAAGAUCAGUUAGCGGAUGUGUUCACCAAGGCUGCAAGACAGAAGACAAUGGAGUCCAUUCACAUACGGUUGGGCCUCAUUGAUCUUGGGAAGAGAAGGAGUUGAUCCCCUUGGCUGUGAGGUCUUUACUCUUUUUCCCUUAUCAAGGUUUUAUCCCAAUGGGUUUUCCUUGGUAAGGUUUUUAAUGAGGAAGAUCUCAUAGCUAUCCAAGCUUAGGCUUUCACAAAGCUAAGCUUGAGGGGGAGUGUUGAGUUGAGUUGAUUAUAUUGGUAUGGAGAGAAGAGGAGUUGAAGAGGAGAAGAGAUGGAGAAGCUUAGGGGGUUUGGGUGUGAAUGGUACGGACGUCCGUACAAGGCCGUACAUGGCCGUACCGUCCGUACCAAAGGCCUCGACCAAAACUUACCCAACUCGACCAAGUGAAACGGUAACAAGGGAGUGUUACCUUGGGGACUUAAGGAGAAGGGAUUAGACCGUUGAGUGGAUAAGGGAAGAGCGUGCCAGGCUGGAACAGGCUGUAAAGAGGCAAAGCGUGUGAGCCUUACCAUCCAAUCAUCCGGAAAGCAACCUUGACUCUACAUGCUUCAAUAGUGCCCAUUUCGCCUCUUGUAAACCCUAAUGUCUUCUAUAUAAAUAUGUAACCUCACUCAUUAAUAAGAUCAGUCAGUUCGAGUCUCUCUAAUCUCUUAGACUAUGGUUUUCUCUUAGACACUAAACGGCUCUUUCUAGUCUCUUAAUCUUUCACAAACUUCUCUUAAUCACUUCCUAAACACUCUCUUUACUCUAAUCACUCUAAAGAUCUCUUAAUCUCAUACAAUCAUGGAUAAAGAAUGGAAGGAGUCGGUUGGAGCUGAGGCAGGAGCUAUGAUCAAGAAUGAUACAUGGUACGAGAGUGAGUUACCAAAAGGGAAGAAGGCUGUGACUAGUAGAUGGAUAUUCACAAUCAAGUACAAAGCGGAUGGAAAGAUUGAGAGGAAGAAGUCAAGGCUAGUUGCAAGAGGUUUCACUCAAACUUAUGGAGAAGAUUACAUAGAAACCUUUGCACCAGUAGCUAAACUACACACAAUCCGGAUUGUACUAAGCUUGGCUGUGAAUCUUGGAUGGGGGUUAUGGCAAAUGGAUGUGAAGAAUGCGUUUCUACAAGGUGAACUUGAGGAUGAAGUGUAUAUGCAUCCACCUCCAGGCCUUGAACACUUAGUGAAGAGAGGGAAUGUGUUAAGACUGAAGAAAGCUAUCUAUGGGCUGAAGCAAUCACCAAGAGCUUGGUAAAACAAGUUGAGCACUACUCUGAAUGGCCGAGGCUUCAAGAAGUCUGAACUAGAUCACACCCUCUUCACACUCACGACUCCCUCAGGUAUGAUUGCACUCCUUGUGUAUGUUGAUGAUAUCAUUAUCACAGGGAGUGAUAAGGAAGGUAUCAUAGCAACCAAGGAGUUUCUUAAAUCCAUGUUUGAGAUUAAAGACUUGGGAGAAAUGAAAUACUUUCUUGGAAUUGAGAUAUGUAGAUCCAAGGAAGGUUUGUUCAUGUCCCAAAGGAAGUAUACACUUGAUCUUUUGAAAGGUGCAGGUGCUUAUGGAGGCAAGACAGCAAGGAUGCCUAUGGAGGAUGGCUACAAAGUCCCACGAGAGGGGGAGAUUGAAGACAGCAAACCUUAUCAGGAUCCUAAACUCUAUAGAAAACUAGUUGGCAAAUUGAUUUAUCUUACUAUAACUAGACCUGACAUUUGUUUUGCUGUGAAUCAGGUGAGUCAACACAUGCAAGUGCCUAAGGAACAUCAUUGGCGCAUGGUGGAGAGGAUCUUGAUGUAUCUCAACGGCUCACCUGAUCAAGGAGUAUGGAUGGGCUGCAAUGGAAGCACUGAAGUGUUGGGAUACUGUGAUGCGGAUUGGGCUGGUGAUAGAGCAGACAGGAGAUCAACCACAGGCUAUUGCACAUUCAUUGGAGGCAACUUGGUGACUUGGAAGAGUAAGAAGCAGAAGGUGGUGUCUUGCUCAAGUGCAGAAGCUGAGUAUAGAGCAAUGCUGAAGCUCACCAACGAGUUAGUAUGGAUCAAAGGCAUCUUGAAGCAUUUGGAGAUUGAUCAAGCCACGCCAAUGACCAUGUAUUGUGACAACCAAGCCGCCAUUCACAUUGCCUCCAACUCGGUGUUCCAUGAGAGAACCAAGCACAUUGAAGUUGAUUGUCACAAGGUGAGGCAGAUGAUCAUCUUAGGAGUCAUCUGUUGAGUUGAGCUAAGUAUAUGUAUGAAGAGCUAAGGAGUUGAAGAGGAAAGGAGAUGAGGAAGCUUAAGGGAGUUUAGGGAGAGCAUGGUACGGACGUCCGUACAAGGCCGUACAAGCCGUACAGUCCGUACCAUCCAAGCCUCAACCUAAACUUACCUUGCACAAGUGAAACGGUAACUAUGGAAGAGUUACUCAAGUGGAGAAGGAUCAGACCGUUUAAGGGAUAAGGGACGCGCAUUGCCAGGCUGGGACAGGCUGGAAAGCUAAAGCAACUUUAGUCCAAGAUGCCAUAAGCGUGUGAUGCCUCUUAGUGGCUAAUUUGAAUCCUUUACCUUGACUUCACAUGCUUACCCCUUAACCUUGCGCUUUGUAAACCCUAGUAGCUCUCCUAUAUAUUGUAACUCAUCAACACUAAUAAAGUUUAUGCAGUUUGAGUCUCUCUAAUCUCUUAGACACUAUGGUUCUCUCUUAGACUCUAAACGUUUCUCAAAGUUACUUAGUCUUUCAUAAUCUCUUCUAAACUUCACCUAAAACUCUCACUUACAUUCUAGUUACUCUAAAGAUCUCUUAAUCUCAUAUGGUAUCAGAGCCAGGUUCAUUAGAAUCUGGGGUUUGAUCUUUAGAGAGUUACAAGGCUUUGAAGCUACACGCGAGUAGCUUUGAAGGUAUUGGAGCUGCGCUACGUUCUGUGUUUGUGCGUGAUUCAAGACUCAAGAUUUCAUCAGAUUCAAGCUGUUCAAGUCAAGCUGAGUAAAGAUGGAGCAUGGGUUAAGCAUGAGGAUGAAGGUGGCGGUUACUUUCAAGGGUAGCAACUACCUUGUGUGGUCUCGGAUGGUGAAGACUGCGGUGGGGAGUAAGGGUUUGUGGGGGCACAUCACAACAGGGGAGGCUCCGAAACUCAUUACUCAGGGAGGAGAUCAAGAAGAGGUCUCCAAUGAAGCGGCUGUGGAGAAAUGGCAACAAGAAGACAUGCUGGUGAUGACGGUUCUACACGCAUCCUUGGACCCAGCUAUCUUGGAUGCUUACAGCUACUGUGAAUCAGCCAAAGAGCUGUGGGACACGCUGAAGAAGGUGUAUGGGAACACUUCCAACCUCAGCCGUGUGUUUGAAGUGAAGCUAGCGAUCAACCGUCUUGCACAAGAGGACAUGGAGUUCACUAAGCACUUGGGGAGGUUCAGGUCCUUAUGGUCAGAGCUGGAGAUGCUGAGGCCGAGCACAACUGAUCCAGAUCAGCUGAAUGAGAGGCGCGAGCAAGACAAGGUCUUUGGGUUGCUUCUCACACUGAACCCGGCCUACACUCAACUCAUUCAGCACAUGUUGAGGUCAGACAAGCUUCCGGACCUUGAGGAGGUGUGUGCGCAAAUCCAAAGGGAGCAGGGAUCUAUGGGGUUGUUUGGAGGAAAGGGGGAGCUCUCUCUUGCCAAUCAAGCAGCUCAUGAGGACUCAACCGAGGCUCCACAAGCAAACAAGGCAUCUCACGGGAAGUAUGAGGACAGGAAGUUCAAUGGCAACUGUGAUCAUUGCAAGAAGCAUGGUCAUAAGAAGAGCCAAUGCUGGAUACUUCACCCACACCUCAAGCCGGCCAAGUUCAUGAAGGAGCGUGAGGGAAGGGCAAAUGUGACUGAAGGUUCAAGUGGAGCUGGCACCAGCAAGAUGAGUGAAGUGGAUGGGCUUGGAGGCAAUGAUGGGAAUGGGAAGUCUCUUGUGGCUUACACUGGCGCCUCAAGCUCACGCAGCAAUGAUGACUACAUCAAGAGAUCAGACCUUGAUGCACUCUUCAAAAUGCUAAAGGAAAACGGUAACACUUAUGGUUAUUCCUUUGGAGCUUCUAUGAUUGCAUAUAAGGAUGAUCACUUGAUUAGAGAACUAGUAGAACGGUUAGAAACUAGAAUGAGUAUAGAAAUGCCCACAUUGCUAGAACUGAUAGGAUGCAUCCAUUACUUAGUAAUCUAUGUCAUAAUGCUAAACGAGUAGGUAAACCAUUGAUUGUUGAUUCUGGUGCAUCACAUCAUAUGAUAAGUGAUGAGAACUUGAUUAAGGAUAUAGAACCUACACAUGGGCAUGUGAUGAUAGCAAAUGGGGAUAAGAUACCUAUUAGAGGAAUAGGAAAGCUUAAGUUGUUUAACAAAGAAUCUAGAGCUUUUUACAUGCCUGAAUUCACAUCAAACCUAUUAUCUGUGAAGAAAUGUACUAAUGAUUUACAAUGCAAUGUUAUCUUUAGUCCUAAUGAUGUGAAGUUUCAGGAUAUUGAGAGCAGCAGAUUGAUUGGGAAAGGGGUGACUAAGGGAGAUCUCUAUAUGCUUGAAGAACUCACUUCUGUUCCUGAUUAUAGUUGCUCAUUUACUUCUGCUUCUUUGUUGAAUAAAAAUGCAUUGUGGCAUGCUAGAGUAGGACACCCUCAUGUUAAAGCUUUGAACUUAAUGGUACCAGGUGUUGUGUUUGAGAACAAAGAUUGUGAAGCUUGUAUUUUAGGCAAGCAUUGUAGAACUGUGUUUCAAAAGUCUACUACUAUCUAUGAUAACUGCUUUGAUUUAAUUCAUUCUGAUGUGUGGACUGCCCCUUGCUUAUCUAGAGAUAGUUAUAAGUACUUUGUCACAUUCAUUGAUGAAAAAUCCAAAUACACCUGGUUAACCUUAAUUCAGACCAAAGAUAGGGUACUUGAUGCAUUUAGGAACUUUCAAACUUAUGUAACUAACCAUUAUCAUGCUAAGAUUAAAAUUUUGAGAUCAGAUAAUGGAGGAGAGUACACAAGUCAUGCAUUCAAGGAACACUUAUCACAACAUGGGAUCCUACAUCAAACAAGCUGUCCGUAUACUCCACAGCAAAAUGGAGUGGCUGAGAGGAAGAAUAGGCACCUCAUGGAAGUGGCAAGGUCUCUGAUGUUUCAGAGUAAUGUUCCAAAGAGAUUCUGGAGUGAUGCGGUUGCCACUGCUUGUUACUUGAUCAACAGAACUCCAACCAAGGUUCUGAAUGAGAAGGCUCCAUUUGAAGUUCUGAACAGGUACAAACCAGUGCUUGAUUACUUGCGAGUCUUUGGAUGUCUAUGCUUUGUGCUCAAACCAGGAGAGAUGAUCAACAAGCUAGAAGCAAGAAGUACUAAGGCUGUGUUCAUAGGAUACUCAGCUACACAGAAAGGAUACAAAUGCUAUGACCCUAUAGCAAGGAGAGUUCUUGUAUCUAGAGAUGUGAAGUUCUUGGAAGAUAGAGGAUACUAUGAAGAAAAGAACCAAGAAGACUUGAAGGACUUAACAUCAGACAAGGCCACCACCUUGCGGAUCAUCCUUGAAGGUCUUGGAAUCAGUACAUCCCAGGAUCCAAGAGAUCACGCAACAACACCUCCUGAAGUUGGUUCACCAUCCCACCUUGAUCAUGAGGGAGGAGAGACACAUGAGGAGGAGCCUACGCAAGAGACUAACCAAGAUGAAGGAGAAGAGAGCAUAGGCUCUGAUGGUCAUGGGCAUGAUCAUGGUGUGAUACAAACACCUUCUCAAGAUGAAGUGGUAGAAGAACAACAGGAAGAAGAACCGGUUGUGCAGCCACUAAGAAGGAGUACAAGGAUAAGGAAGGAUCCUUCCAGUUGGGUAAACACGAGAGUGUACUACAAUGCCCAAGCUGUGGAGCAUCCUUCUCAAGCCGUGUGCUCCUUUGCUCAAUAUCCAGAAGCACAUUGCGCUUUCAUGGUAAACUUGGAUGAGAAUCACAUCCCAAGAAGCUAUGAAGAGGCAAUAAAGGAUAAAGAAUGGAAAGAGUCAGUAGGAGAUGAAGCAGGAGCUAUGAUCAAGAAUGAUACAUGGUAUGAGAGUGAGUUACCAAAAGGGAAGAAGGCUGUGACUAGUAGAUGGAUCUUCACAAUCAAGUACAAAGCGGAUGGAAAGAUUGAGAGGAAGAAGUCAAGACUGGUUGCAAGAGGCUUUACUCAAACCUAUGGAGAGGAUUAUGUUGAGACAUUUGCACCAGUAGCUAAGUUGCAUACAAUCCGAAUUGUAUUAAGCUUGGCUGUGAACCUUGGAUGGGGCUUAUGGCAAAUGGAUGUGAAGAAUGCAUUCCUACAAGGGGAACUUGAGGAUGAAGUAUAUAUGCAUCCCCCACCAGGCUUGGAACACUUAGUGAAGAAGGGAAAUGUGUUGAGACUGAAGAAGGCUAUCUAUGGGUUGAAGCAAUCACCAAGAGCUUGGUACAACAAGCUGAGCACAACUCUGAAUGGCCGAGGCUUCAAGAAGUCUGAACUAGAUCACACUCUCUUCACACUCACAACUCCCUCAGGUAUGAUUGCACUCCUUGUGUAUGUUGAUGAUAUCAUUAUCACAGGGAGUGAUAAGGAAGGUAUCAUUGCAACCAAGGAGUUUCUUAAGUCCAUGUUUGAGAUUAAAGACUUGGGAGAGAUGAAAUACUUUCUUGGGAUUGAGAUAUGUAGAUCCAAGGAAGGUUUAUUCAUGUCCCAAAGGAAGUAUACACUUGAUCUCUUGAAAGGUGCAGGGGCUUAUGGGGGCAAGACAGCAAGGAUGCCUAUGGAGGAUGGCUACAAAGUUCCACGAGAGGGGGAGAUUGAAGACAGCAAACCUUAUCAGGAUCCUAAACUCUAUAGAAAACUAGUUGGCAAAUUGAUUUAUCUUACUAUAACUAGACCUGACAUUUGUUUUGCUGUGAAUCAGGUGAGUCAACACAUGCAAGUGCCUAAGGAACAUCACUGGCACAUGGUGGAGAGGAUCUUGAUGUAUCUCAACGGCUCACCUGAUCAAGGAGUAUGGAUGGGCUGCAAUGGAAGCACUGAAGUGGUGGGAUACUGUGAUGCGGAUUGGGCUGGUGAUAGAGCAGACAGGAGAUCAACCACAGGCUAUUGCACAUUCAUUGGAGGCAACUUGGUGACUUGGAAGAGUAAGAAGCAGAAGGUGGUGUCUUGCUCAAGUGCAGAAGC
rnacentral:lncRNA from 1 species